AACGAACGCUGGCGGCAUGCCUAACACAUGCAAGUCGAACGAGACCUUCGGGUCUAGUGGCGCACGGGUGCGUAACGCGUGGGAACCUGCCCUUAGGUUCGGAAUAACUCCCCGAAAGGGGUGCUAAUACCAGAUAAUGUCUUCGGACCAAAGAUUUAUCGCCUUUGGAUGGGCCCGCGUUGGAUUAGCUAGUUGGUAGGGUAAAAGCCUACCAAGGCGACGAUCCAUAGCUGGGCUGAGAGGAUGAUCAGCCACACUGGGACUGAGACACGGCCCAGACUCCUACGGGAGGCAGCAGUGGGGAAUAUUGGACCAUGGGCGAAAGGCUGAUCCAGCAAUGCCGCGUGAGUGAUGAAGGCCUUAGGGUUGUAAAGCUCUUUUACCCGGGAUGAUCAUGACAGUACCGGGAGAAUAAGCUCCGGCUAACUCCGUG
rnacentral:rRNA from 1 species